ACGAUGAACCAGGCUGCCGUUCCGCCGCCCUGCACGGGAGCGUCCCGCAAGGGGCGGCGGGGAGGAAAGUCCGGGCUCCGCAGGGCAUGAUGCCGGGUAACGCCCGGGCGGCGGGUAUCCGCCGACAGAAAGCGCAACAGAAAAUAUACCGCCCUGGAGGAAACACCGCCAGGGUAAGGGUGAAAUGGCGGGGUAAGAGCCCGCCGCGGCGUUGGCAACAGCGCCGGCACGGCAAACCUCAUCAGGAGCAAAGUCAAGCAGUAACCGCCGGCAAUGCCGGCGCGCCGCCCGUGCUGUGCCGCUUGCGGCGCGGUAAUGCGGCGGCGGGGGCGGCCCGCCCGCGUUACGGGUAGACUGCUCGGGCCUGUGCCCGGGACGCCGUCCGCAAGGCCGGCGCAAGACAGAUGGCUGCCGGUUCCUUCGCCCCAGGGCGGGGAAUCACAGAACCCGGCUUACCGGUUCAUCGUUUUU
rnacentral:RNase_P_RNA from 1 species